AUGGCGUGGGGGCGGCGGGGCGGGGAGAUGCAGGGAGCCCCCAGAGGGCACACUGGGCCGCGGCAGCCUGGCCGGCUUUGCCCCAGGCCUCCUGGGGUCAGUCCUGGCUGCCCUGACAGCUGCCAGAGAGGAGGAGCGGGGCGUAUGGACCACGGAGUGGCUGCUGUGCCUGAGGCCCAGUGCAGCCACAGGCCGCUCACACCUUGCGCUCGCCACCCGCAGCUCAGAGUCCCCCGUGGGGAGCGCGCAGCUUCAGACCUUAGAAGCAUCCAGGGAAUGGGGUCGCAAGGCACUGGCGCUGCCAGCCCUCAGGGGCCGCCCAAGUGUCUCAGUUGGAAAACAAGGGUGCAGAAUCCAGAGGUUGGGGUGGGGGUGUUACAGCGGCCUGAGGUGCCGGCCCCGGCCCACUGACCACGCCAGGCCUCUUUUGCUCCCCGCGCGCCCCCCAUUCCUCCCUGGCGAGCGGCCAUCAGCAGGCUCGCGCCGACCCUGACUUCGGAGUCCGAGUUCUCGGAGGAGACUUAGGGCGUGAAUGGGAGGCAGCAGGCAGCCGACAGCAGGACCCGCCAGGGGGCGCUCUCCCCAGCCUGUGGCUUCCCUGGUCAAGAGCCCUCCACGGCUCCCUCAUGGCCAGUUUCCUGGGGUCCAACUUCUCUGUAACCAAGACCGGCUCGUGGCCCUCUGCUCCCGGCGCCAGCCCCUCUGUCUCCGACUUCCUGUGGGGCACUGGGAGGUGACUGGCCUCAGUGGACGUCACAGCACCCCUUCUGUCCACCUGCUCGCAGCCCCUCUGUCUCUGCCCAGACCUCCUCACCCGGGGUGUGCUCCCUCCUUCUGGCCUUAAACACCUCUUCCUUCAGGAAGCCUUCUGUGGUGGUCCCUACCCAUCUCCACUCUCCUAAUCCAGCCAUCCCGGUAGCCCUCAUGUGCAUGUGACACGAGCCCUAUAUAUCCCCAGCAGCCUCUUCUGCGCCUGGGACAGGGCUCUGCUCGGGGUCAUCGGCAGCUGCUGACUGAUGCCAUUUGAAGGUGCCACGAGGGGGACCCCAUCCCUGCUCUCUGGAGGCCCCCCUUUCUCUUCCGGAACUCCCUGUCCCGUGGGUCUCUUCCCCGAGGUGAGGGCCGGGCCGGGGCUGUCAGGUGUGCAGUGGGGGCACAGGGUGGGGCGGGGCGGCACCCUCGCCCACCCCCCGCAGUAGGUGAGGUGAGGUGCGUGGCCGGAAGCAUGGGGUGAGGGGAG
rnacentral:lncRNA from 1 species